rnacentral:misc_RNA from 1 species
GAUGAAGAACGUAGCGAAAUGCGAUAAGUAAUGUGAAUUGCAGAAUUCAGUGAAUCAUCGAAUCUUUGAACGCACAUUGCGCCCCCUGGUAUUCCGGGGGGCAUGCCUGUUCGAGCGUCAUUUCAACCCUCAAGCUCUGCUUGGUAUUGGGCGUCGCCGGGGAGUCUCCCCGGCGUGCCUCAAAGCCAUCGGCGGUGGUGCCUUUCUCCAAGCGUGGUAGAAUUUUUAUUCGCUUCUGAGUUGGGCUUCGCCUGCCGGACAAACCGGGCCCUCGCGGCCCACCUUCUCAGGUUGACCUCGGAUCAGGUAGGGAUACCCGCUGAACUUAAGCAUAUCAAUAAGCGGAGGA